AAAUCAAAAAUGGUUAUAUGACUUUAAAAAAUGUAUAGUUUAUAUUAUACAACCUUACAUUUCAACCUUCGUCCAAGAGCUUUCGUGUCCAUCCGUCAGUCUCUCGUUUUAUUUGAACCCCUGCAGUCUGUUAUGUUAAUUAAAUUAUAAUUGGCAGCUUCACUCGAUUGUGCAAUGACCGAUGACAGCCACAAAGGACUUCUUCAUCAACAACAUCAUCAUUUACUUCGCCUGAACUUUGACCCGACCACGUUGCCCACUUUUUGCGCCCCUUCAUCAGCGUCUUUGCCGGCGGCUUAACCCGCCUUUUGUCUGUCUGGGGGCCAUUAGGAUGGAUAUGCUGGCUAGCCGCUCAUUAAAGGCCCAGAAGCAACCUCGGUGGAUGGGAAAAGGUACAGGUCGUUGGAGCGCAUGAUGAGGAAGCAAAGAUGUUAAAAAUAAUAUGCUUUUCUAGGGAAAUAGCCCGCUUUGUGUUAGCUCUUUGUUUAGUGCUUAAUGAGGACAGAGAUUUUCAUUUAGAAUCAAAAUAAACAACACCUUGACUAGAA